rnacentral:rRNA from 1 species
UACAGAGGGGGCAAGCGUUGUUCGGAAUUACUGGGCGUAAAGGGCGCGUAGGCGGCCUUCUAAGUCGAACGUGAAAUCCCUGGGCUCAACCCAGGAACUGCGUCCAAUACUGGAAGGCUUGAAUCCGGGAGAGGGAUGCGGAAUUCCAGGUGUAGCGGUGAAAUGCGUAGAUAUCUGGAGGAACACCGGUGGCGAAGGCGGCAUCCUGGACCGGCAUUGACGCUGAGGCGCGAAAGCCAGGGGAGCAAACGGG